rnacentral:rRNA from 1 species
GGGGUGCUCGGGUGGCGAACGGGUGAGUAACACGUGAGUAACCUGCCCUUGACUUUGGGAUAACUUCAGGAAACUGGGGCUAAUACCGGAUAGGAGCUCCUGCUGCAUGGUGGGGGUUGGAAAGUUUCGGCGGUUGGGGAUGGACUCGCGGCUUAUCAGCUUGUUGGUGGGGUAGUGGCUUACCAAGGCUUUGACGGGUAGCCGGCCUGAGAGGGUGACCGGCCACAUUGGGACUGAGAUACGGCCCAG